rnacentral:rRNA from 1 species
UACGUAGGUCCCGAGCGUUGUCCGGAUUUAUUGGGCGUAAAGCGAGCGCAGGUGGUUUAUUAAGUCUGGUGUAAAAGGCAGUGGCUCAACCAUUGUAUGCAUUGGAAAUUGGUAGACUUGAGUGCAGGAGAGGAGAGUGGAAUUCCAUGAGUAGCGGUGAAAUGCGUAGAUAUAUGGAGGAACACCGGUGGCGAAAGCGGCUCUCUGGCCUGUAACUGACACUGAGGCUCGAAAGCGUGGGGAGCAAACAGG